rnacentral:tRNA from 1 species
UCCCUUGUGGCUCAGUGGUAAAGAAUCCACCUGCAAUGUGGGAGAUCCAGGUUUGAUCCCUGGGCUGGGAA